CUUCCGUUGGUGAACCAGCGGAGGGAUCAUUACCGAGUUUACAACUCCCAAACCCCUGUGAACAUACCACUUGUUGCCUCGGCGGAUCAGCCCGCUCCCGGUAAAACGGGACGGCCCGCCAGAGGACCCCUAAACUCUGUUUCUAUAUGUAACUUCUGAGUAAAACCAUAAAUAAAUCAAAACUUUCAACAACGGAUCUCUUGGUUCUGGCAUCGAUGAAGAACGCAGCAAAAUGCGAUAAGUAAUGUGAAUUGCAGAAUUCAGUGAAUCAUCGAAUCUUUGAACGCACAUUGCGCCCGCCAGUAUUCUGGCGGGCAUGCCUGUUCGAGCGUCAUUUCAACCCUCAAGCACAGCUUGGUGUUGGGACUCGCGUUAAUUCGCGUUCCUCAAAUUGAUUGGCGGUCACGUCGAGCUUCCAUAGCGUAGUAGUAAAACCCUCGUUACUGGUAAUCGUCGCGGCCACGCCGUUAAACCCCAACUUCUGAAUGUUGACCUCGGAUCAGGUAGGAAUACCCGCUGAACUUAAGCAUAUCAUUAAGCGGAGGA
rnacentral:rRNA from 1 species